AAUAUAUUUAGUUCAAAUUCUUCUCAGUUUCUUUUCGAUUCAGUUCGUCAUAUAUACCCUGCGAUUUUUUUCCUACAUUACAGAAUUAGUAGCUUUUCAAAAUAUUCACUCGUAGAUAGAGGCAUAUAUGUCAAAUAAGACAACUGGUAAAGUAAAAUGGUUUAAUGAAUUAAAAGGUUUUGGUUUUAUCGCACCUGAUAAUGGUAGCCAAGAUGUUUUUGUUCAUUUCAAAUCAAUCGAAAUUGAAGGUUUUAAAACUCUGACUGAAGGUCAAAGUGUUGCUUUCAAUAUCGAAAAGGGCGCUAAAGGCCCUCAAGCAAAUAGCGUUACACUCGCGUAAGCUUUAUUUGCUAAGGUGCUUUUACAUUAAAAGCACCUCACA
rnacentral:sRNA from 1 species